rnacentral:rRNA from 1 species
CGGGACGGGUGAGUAAUGUCUGGGAAACUGCCUGAUGGAGGGGGAUAACUACUGGAAACGGUAGCUAAUACCGCAUAAUGUCGCAAGACCAAAGAGGGGGACCUUCGGGCCUCUUGCCAUCGGAUGUGCCCAGAUGGGAUUAGCUAGUAGGUGGGGUAACGGCUCACCUAGGCGACGAUCCCUAGCUGGUCUGAGAGGACGACCAGCCACACUGGAACUGAGACACGGUCCAG